rnacentral:ncRNA from 10 species
CGCAAGGCCGCUGACCGACGGGAUAUUGUGGGGCUUACCACAGGGGACGCGGCGUUAUCACUUGCCUUUUAAGCCGACCGUCUGGGCUGCAUAC